rnacentral:rRNA from 1 species
AUACGUAGGUGACAAGCGUUAUCCGGAUUUACUGGGUGUAAAGGGCGUGUAGGCGGUUUAGCAAGUCAGAAGUGAAAUUCCCGGGCUUAACUUGGGCGCUGCUUCUGAAACUGCUUUACUUGAGUGCUGGAGAGGAUAGUGGAAUUCCUAGUGUAGCGGUAAAAUGCGCAGAUAUUAGGAGGAACACCGGUGGCGAAGGCGGCUAUCUGGACAGUAACUGACGCUGAGGCGCGAAAGCGUGGGGAGCAAACAGGAUUAGAUCCCCUGGUAGUCCACGCCGUAAACGAUGAAUACUAGGUGUAGGGGGUAUCGACUCCCUCUGUGCCGCAGUUAACACAAUAAGUAUUCCGCCUGGGGAGUACGGCCGCAAGGUUGAAACUCAAAUGAAUUGACGGGG